GAUUUAUUAUACAUUUGUAAAUCUGUUUUGGCAUGGAUGAAUUAAGAUUUUUUUUAUAUUUGAUGGAAACCUUGUAUUGCCUUUGAUUUUCUGUAUUUAGGUGUGGCUUUAAAUUGUGUAGUUUUUAUUGCUUGGCUCUGUUUUAAUUUCUAGGGUUUGAAGCCUUAUUCAAAUUGAAUAUAUAUUUGAUGAAGGAAAAAAAGUCUCUGCAUCUUGCAUUCCUUACGUCAAAGCCUUCUUGUUGAUACUGCUAUGACUCAGCAUGGUAUGGGUGAUGAAGCUACUAUAAAGAAAAUAAUUUCUAAAGUGGAUACAGAUAAUGAUGGAAGAAUAAACUGUGAGAAAUUUUGUGCAAUGUUGAGAAGUGGAACCCCACACCCCGAACAACUACACUAAAUCUCUUGAAUUUAGUCAAUUUCACAUCAUUGAUCUGUAUUUGUUGAAGUAUUGUUUGGCACGAAUUUAAAUUCGAGCUGUUAUAUGUUAUUGUACUGAUGCCGGAAUUUUCAUGUUAAAGUAUCAGCUAUGAUAUCCUAUGAGGAUUUAUCAUUCUGUAUGUUGGUUGAGGAAAGAGCAGCCAAUGAGGCAAGGCAAGUUUGGUUUGCUGAAUCUAUAAUGAAGUACAAGCUUAAAUAUAGUUGUUCAAUUUGAAAUCCUUUCCUGUAUAUUCUUUCUGGUCA